AGUCUGGUGCCAGCAGCCGCGGUAAUACCAGCUCUACUAGCAUAUGUUAAAGCUGCUGCAGUUAAAACGCUCGUAGUUGGGGUUGAGGGUUGGGUGGAACGAUCUCGAAAGGGAUUGCGAAGCUAGGCCUUUUUUUGGUGAUUCCUUGUUAAGUCAAGGGUUGCCGUUAAACCUUGAAAAAAUAUUAACGCUCAAACUUGGACUUUGGUUCCAGUUCUUUUUGCAUGGGAUUUUAGAAUACGUGUCGGCCCUAAAAAAGUCGGCAAAUGACCUUUGAGGAUGAUAGUGGCAGUUCAUAUUGAGACGUCAGAGGCGAAAUUCUUGGAUUGUCUCAAGAUGAACUGAUGCGAAAGCGUUCUGCAAUAGCUUUCCUGUCGAUCAAGAACGAAAGUUAGGGGAUCGAAGACGACCAGAUACCGUCGUAGUCUUAACAGUAAAAUAUACCGAUUAGGGAAAUGGGAGCGAAAUAGGAAGAUGCUCUCGGGCGUCUUCUAAUAUCCUCUCAUUUUCCCCCGCGAAAGCUUAAAUCUUUGGGUUCUGGGGGGAGUAUUGUCGCAAGGCCGAAACUUAAAGGAAUUGACGGAAGGGCACCACCAGGCGUGGAGCCUGCGGCUUAAUUUGACCCAACACGGGGAAACUUACCAGGUCCGAACAACAAAAGGAUUGACAGAUUGAGAGCUCUUUCAUGAUAUGUUGGGUGGUGGUGCAUGGCCGUUCUUAGUUGGUGGUGCGAGCUGUCUGGUUGAUUCCGUUAACGAACGAGACCUUUAUAGCAUAAUACAGGAGUGAAGGUAUUGCGCAAAGGGAGGUGGCUGCAGCUUUGGAACGGGUUCGUCCCCCCUUUGCUGUCCAGUCGCCUCUUGCAACCUUUACUACCAGUUCUUUGCUAGACAAAUGAGGAAAACUCAUUGGAAGUUGGAGGCAAAUACAGGUCUGUGAUGCCCUUAGAUGUUCUGGGCUGCACGCGCGCUACAAUGACUGAUUCAACGAGUUUUUUCUUGGCCGAAAGGUCUGGGCAAUCUUCAAAACUCAGUCGUACUAUGGAUCGCUGAUUGCAAUUAUUCGGCGUGAAAGAGGAAUGCCUUGUAAAUAUAGUUCAUCAGACUGUAUUGAAUACGUCCCUGCCCUUUGUACACACCGCCCGUCGCUCCUACCAAUUGGUGCAAACGGUGAGAAGUUCGGAGAUAUUGAGACGGCGGGGUCAAACUCGUCCCUCUAAAUCAAAGUCCUCCA
rnacentral:rRNA from 1 species